UCUGAUGUGAAAUUUAUGUUUGCUGAAACAGAUGGGGAAACAAGUACCUGCUGGUUUUCUCUUUUUAAUCUAUCAUACAUCACGUUUUCUUUAGUUAUGUGAUAGAUGUGAAUGAGUAUCUGCUGUGUGUUUACCUUCAUGUUUGUGGCUGCUAGUUUAGACAUUUUAUGACUGAAUAUAAUUUCUUGUGAAUGAGUAUAAUUUCUUGUGUAUGAGAAAAACCAUUCAUAAGAACCAACAAUAUCUUAUUAUCUAAUAUCAUGGAAGACAUGUAUGAUCUGUUAAUUAACAAUUGCAUCCUGCACUCAUCAUAUAAUUUAUGGCUGGAAACCUGAAAUCUGCAAUUUAUAGUUGUGUUUCCUCUUCCUGAAAUCUGCACUCAAUUCUUCAACAUAAGGCUUUCUCUGUGUUAGUAAAACACUUGAAUUUAGACUAGAUGACUGUACUUAUGCGUGCCACAAAUAGUUAUGAAAGACUAUUUGUGUAACUAGCUCAUGGGUUUUCCUUAAUGGCUAAUGAAAAAUUCCUAACCCAGAUGCAUGUUUAGAAGCCCCUUAAUUGAGGGAUGUAGAGUGAUCCUGGAUCUUUGCACAAGGCAUGGUUGAAUUGGUGAGAUGCUGAUAGAAACUAAGAAAUUAAGGUCCAGGCAUCUUUCUCUGCAAUUAUAGAUUGAACAGAGUGACUCAGUGGAGACAAUAACCCAACCAUAUUUCCGUGCUCUUUUAGAAAUAUUCUGUUUCUUCUUGACUGUAGUAUCAAUUUAUUAUCGUUUUCUGCUACAGCUUUAAAAAGCCAUGUUAAGAUGAGAGUCUCGUGAACCUCACUUCAUAUUUUGUUCCAUUGAAGAUAGGAACAGUCAAUAUGCUUGAUUGUCUGUCUACCAUUCAAGCAAGUGGCAGGCUGAUGAUAAAGUAUCAUUUUCUUCCCAUAGCAUUUUCUUUUGAUGCCUAUGUACAAAUUGUUUCUGCUCUAGGAUUGAAGUCUGUUAUAUACAGAUUUAUAUUCAAUUGAUCUCUGAUAUCUUUGGUGGAAAUCCACAAAGUUCAAUAAAAAAACUAUGGAAGUCACCAAACUGCAAAAACUGAAACCUUCUGGGCUCUGGUUCUGUUAUUAUCUUCUUUCCGUGAAGCAUGUUUUGUGCAGUACAAAUGUAACCAUCGAAGAAACUAUGUUUUCAGCAAUUUCUUCACAUUGUUUUCUGCAGAACCUAUUGGAGAUGCUAACCUAAAGAUGAAUCUGCUGCUAUUCCGGUGGCAUGUCACACAGGAGGAAGAACUCAAAGGUGCUGCUGUCCUUGUACAUGCAGACAAGCAGAUAAGGCUUCUUUAUUUUUUUUUCUGCUCACUUUGCGUAACUUAGUUAAGCAAGUUAUUUUUUUAAUAUGCAAAAAAUAUUACAAUUAUAUUAGUCAUGCAUGUCCAAUAAAAUAAUAAAAAAGGGUUUAUUUGAUACCAUUGCUGACUUCUAUGCACUAGACGUGCCCAAAACAGAGAAGAUGUCAAAUAAGUGAACACUAAAACUUUUUUUUGCUCUCUUGGUAACUAAGCUAAGAGGUUCCUUUUUUAACAUGCAAAAAAUAUUGUAAUUAUAUUAGUCAUGGUACCUUAGCCAAGAAGUUCUUUUUUUAACAUGCAAAAAAUAUUAUAAUUAUAUUAGUCAUGCAUCUCCAAUAAAAUAAUAAACAAGGGUUUAUUUGAUACCAUUGCUGACUUCUAUGCACUAGACGUGCCCAAAACAGAGAAGAUGUCAAAUAAGUGAACACAAACUUUUUUUUGCUCUCUUGGUAACUAAGCUAAGAGGUUCUUUUUUGAACAUGCAAAAAAUAUUGUAAUUAUAUUAGUCAUGGUACCUUAGCUAAUAAGUUCUUUUUUUAACAUGCAAAAAAUAUUGUAAUUAUAUUAGUCAUGCAUCUCCAAUAAAAUAAUAAAAAAGGGUUUGUUUCAUACCACUGUCGAUUUCUAUGCACUAGACGUGUCCAAAAUGUUAGAGAAGAUGUCAAAUAUGGGAACACUAAAAGCUCUACAUAUGAUAGUGGUUUGCUAAAAGAUGACAAACAAACAUAUUUAAGGUUUACCUUGCAAGAAUAUAUACUUAUUUAGGAACAACAAAAUGGUUUCCUUUGACAAAAGUUAUUUAGUAGUACAUAACUUCUGAUAUCCUUUAUAUUUUACAGUAAUUGUCUUCUUUUAGUCAUGGUCAUUUUCUUCCCUAUACAGGUGGACACUCAUGGUCAUUAGACGGUACUGCGAUAACAGAAAUACUUGGAAUUACACGAGACCAAAAACCGUCAAAGGGGAACUUCUGGCAGCUAUAGGAGAACAGCUAUUAGAUGCUCUUUAGAUCGUCUGAAACUUUGACAAGGAAAUCAUUAGGCAAAAGGCCACGAGUUGCCAUUUGAAGGUAUGCUUCAAGAUUUCCCCCUGGCCCUUCAAAUCAUAGAAAAUAUAAUCCAAUACAUAAGACAGAAGAAGAUAAAAUAAAUAUUCCACGACCCAAAACUCUAAUUAUGUAAGAUGGCAAAGGUAUUUCGCCAUGAAAACAAAGCCUAGUAAAGCAACUUUAGUUCCCGAAUAUUGAUGUUUUGUGCCUUAGUCUUUGAUCUAAUUUUGAUAUUUCUCAGUCCACUAAGGCAAGAAGUAUUCGCAUAAAUAAUAAGAUGAUGCGAAGAAUAUUGUUACAAAAGCCAUGCAGUAGAAACAUAGUCGCACUCAUUUUUCUCACUGAUCUUGCCUCUUAAUAUUGAAGAUACAAACAAGUAAUAUCAUCAAUUGACACACUUCUGGUGAUCUCUGUAAAUAAACCUAGUCAUGUCUAGUAAUUCUGGUAGCUGUUUUCUGCUUCGUCUCACUUCUAUUUCCCAUUCCGAUUUCUUUCUUUACAAUUUUACUCUUGAUUUGGUAU